rnacentral:tRNA from 1 species
CGAAAUAUAGCUUAACUAAAGCACCUCGCUUACACCGAAGAGAUGUUCACUAGACCUGAACUAAUUCGAG